rnacentral:rRNA from 1 species
UGGCGGACGGGUGAGUAACGCGUGGGUAACCUGCCCUGUACAGGGGGAUAACAGUCAGAAAUGACUGCUAAUACCGCAUAAGACCACAGCACCGCAUGGUGCAGGGGUAAAAACUCCGGUGGUACAGGAUGGACUCGCGUCUGAUUAGCUGGUUGGUGAGGUAACGGCCCACCAAGGCGACGAUCAGUAGCCGACCUGAGAGGGUGACCGGCCACAUUGGGACUGAGACACGGCCCAAACUCCUACGGGAGGCAGCAUG